CAGAGUUCAUGCCCUUCGGGGUAGAUCUCCCACCCUGUGUAUUACUACUUUGUUGCUUUGGCGGGCCGUUAGGCUUCGGCUUAGCUACCGGCUUCGGCUGGUAAGCGCCCGCCAGAGGACCCCAAACUCAUAUUAUCUAUGUCGUCUGAGUACUAUAUAAUAGUUA
rnacentral:misc_RNA from 1 species